GUGGAUUUUCCGGCCCUAGUCAAACCUUCAGAUGGUUGCAGCCCAGGCAGACGUCAUAACUACAUGACGUGGGACGGACACUAAUCCAGGACCCCUGAGCUGAGGUCUCUUGAUGUCAGAGAGAUGGGCCAUCUCUUGGGUCCAGGGGUUUGGAUGGAGAGUCCAUGACCGCAGCUGUGCCCAGCCAUUCUGACUGACCUCUUGGAAGGUGACGGCUGCAUGUCAGGACGAAGAUGUGCGUGCUGAACCCCGAGCUGGGAAACUUUGGUUUUUGCUCUUGAGGCCUUCCAGCGAUUGGAUGAGAGCCGCCGCAUUAUCAAGGUGGAGAACAACUUGGUUGGAAAGGAUACUCAUCAAUCAAUACGAAGAAAAAAGGAAGCUGUUGUAGGAAUCCAGCCCAUUAUAGGUUGCAACAUGCAGGUGAAAAUAACAAGGUCCGCUCAGGAGAGGGGUUCUGGAGGCGAGCCACACCCCCGCAGCAGAGCUCGCUUUAGCUACCGGUCUAGACUUCACUACGUGACAUCAUCUCCCAUCUACUGUGACCUGUGAUGUCAGUUGAAUAUCCAGCCAUAAAAGGACGCAGAAGCAGCCAGCAAAUGGGAGGACUUUCCCCUCAUUUCACAGAACUCUACCAACAUGUGUGGAAGCACAAGUCCCUGAGCACAUACACACUGAAUUCCCACUUGCCUGUGAUUAUGUUGCCACCUCCACUGACUACCCAAAUUGAUUUCUAAUUGAUUUUGGAAUACAUUUCAAAUUACUCUACCUCCUGGUAUGCAUUUAGCAUAAUCUCAUAUUCCUAUUUUAGCACAUUCUGAUAGAAUCAGAGGCCUGGAUCAUAGUGAAGGGGACUGACUGAAGAAGUGGCCUGACAUGUUUAAAGUAACCAUGGAAAUGUACAAAAGAGAUGAUUGAUACUAAGAUAAUGAGACCAUGCAAAUAUUUCCUUUUUAUUGUCUUCUUUAGCCUAAUUAAUUCCUUUCUAAUGACUGUUUAAUCUUAUAUGCAUUUCCAAGUAAUUCCACUAUGGUUUUUCUCAUUGAUUUCCACAAUGACUAAUUGUGCUAAGUGAAAUAUUCUUAAUUUUUCUGGGGCAGAAGUGUAGACCUUGGGAGUAUUUCAACUUUUUUUAGUAACUGAUAACUUUUCCUACUCACAGAUCAGGGUUGAGUUGAUGACAAUUUUUUAAGAAACUGACUUUCUUGAAAGAAAAU